GUCGGCUCGUCGCCCUGAGCCCCUGACCAGUUCUUCCCCAAAUCUUCCAAAACCUAACCCUCAACCCCUACCACGCCGCCGCCGCCGCCACCAACCACUCGACCGCAGCGCCGGCUUCGUCCCCAAACACAUCGCCGCCGUCCGCCUAGUCGUCGCCGAGCACCCUUCUCUACCAAGGAAACCCUUCGUCGCUUCGUUCCCAUCCCCCGCGCACCCAGCGCCUGCUUCCUCCAGAGGAAAGCCGCCGACCGCCCUCCAUCCCCACCACAACAACGACCUCCUCCACAGGUUUCCUCCGCCGAGCAGGCCUCCUCCUCCUCAAGCUUUCUCCCCCGAGCAGGGCCUCCUCCUCCACGAGCAUCCUUCCCUGAGCACUAAGUUGGGUCGCCUCCUGUUUCCCUCACCCGAGCAGCGGGCCUUCCUGUACGGCCCCUCUCUCGAGAAGCUCCACCUCCUCUACAUCCUCCCCCAGGUGCAGCGCCGCCUCCUUGCUCACCGAGAGCACUUGGCCGAUGAGAUUUCAAUCUUUGCAAACUUCUGUUCCUUUUUUCUUCUGAGCAGUAACUAGAACGACUUCAGAAAGUGUUUGAGUUUAUAUGACACUACAGCUCUGAAGAUAAAGACUAGCUUUGUCAUCCGAUAGCCCAAGUUUUGCUUAUGGUGAAGAGAUCUUCCAUUGCAGCAAAUGGAUGCUUCAACUACAUACUAAAUCAGUGAAUCCCAGUAGGGGUACUACAUGCAAGCUUUGGGAAAUUAAGUUUCAAGGUCGUGCUGCAAAUAUAGCUAGAGAACUUCUUUCUGUAUUUUUUUUUUCUGCAAAUGUAGACUGAAAGUGAAGUAACGCUUCUAGAGUUUAAUAGUUUUAACUAGUGAAUGUGUUAGUUCUAUGAAAAUAGAUAUAUGGGGUUUGAUCUGGAAUUUUCUUCCAUAAUUUUCUAUUGCCAGUUUGCCACUGCUCCCAGUCAUGUGAUUCUGGAAUUUAAUGAUCAGUAGUUGUCUAUCAUAGUAGAAAUCCCUUCAAUUGUUGCAACCUUUAUUAUUGAAUUGAAAAACAUAUGUCUGAUAAUUUAUUUUUCUAGAGUAAAAUGAGAGCAAUUGGUUUGUACCGUCGCCCCUACUGGAAAUUCCAUGGCAUCAUGACUUACUGAAUUGCCAGAUCCCCUGUUCUUAAAACUUUUUUUAUUUAGCUUAACACUUAAGAACAAAUUCAUCCAUAGCUACGUUCACAGAGAUGGUAAAUAGCUUAAGAUGUGCUUGUGGUUCAGAUUUCAGAAAAGGCCUACUUGCAGUGCCACGUGCAAGUAAUAUAACCCUGGUAGUACAGUACCUUGUCAUGUAGGGCCACGAGUAAUAUAAGACUAUUGUUUUGUUGCUGGUAAUUAGAACGUUUGGAUGCUCGUUGUUUAGGUUCUGCGUCUAGUUUGGUAGUAGUGCUGCUGUGUGUGGCUUAGUUUCUGAUGUUUUGAGGUACCCCUGGAGGGGGACGAACUUGAGACAUGUGAUGUUUUCAGUAAUGGAAAUUGGGAGCUAUGCUCCUAAGUAGAUUUUUUUUUGAAGAAUUGGGUCGUGGGGCUAGCUGAGUACCAUGCUCUUUUCUCCUAUAUGUAAUUCUUACAAACUGUUCCCUAAUUUUCAUUUGAUGCUUUCACUGAAAUAAUAUUUUGGAUUUUUUGUUUUGUGAGCAGUAUGCCUGUUGUUUGUCCUCUCCACCAAGCAGCGUCAGACUACUCCAUACAAGCACAUAAGCUUAUGCUCUUCUGAUUAUAUAUUUACCAAUGACUAUUAUGGUUGAUAGCUUAAAAGUCUUUGCUUCUAUAUAUGCAGCUGAGAGUGACUUAUAAGUUCAUGGCAAAACCAGCAACACGAGUACGCAACCACAAGCAAGCUGAGGAGUUACCUCUGAGUUGAUACAUUUUACUGUCUCGAGAUUCUUUUGGCAUCCCUGAACAGUUUCCGCUGAUCCAAAUUAUCAUCCCUCAUGUUAUGGGCCUCAAAGAGCAGCUGAAAGACUAAUUUAAGGUGCAAGUGGAUAAGUCUAGCAAAUGCAGUAAUGUGACCACAAGCAAGUUGAGGAGGUUUCUCAAGAUACACAAGUUGAUGGAGGUUUGGAAGAUCUACAAGUUGCUCUGGAGGUUUUGAAGGUCUGACAAGUUGCUGGAGUGAUGAUAUAUAUGUAAUAUGUCUUGUUUGUUGAACCUCCAGAUAUUGACAAGUUUUACACUGCUCAUUUUGGUGGUUGUUUCAGCAGACAAGCCAUUGUAUGCCAAUUUUGGUUGCGUGGCACGAUUUCUUUACCUUAAACAUAUGUACUUUGCAUUUUGAGGCAUAUAAUGUCUAUAUAUGUACGGUUCAUGCAUGUGUUAAAAACAUAUGUUUUUCGUCU